UGGGGCGUGGCCAAGCGGUAAGGCGACGGAUUUUGGAUCCGUUAUUCGGGGGUUCGAAUCCUCCCGCCCCAGCCA
rnacentral:tRNA from 1 species